CAGAGAACCAGAAUGAGACACAGAGAGGCACACUGAAGCUGCCUCCUUAUCAUCUCUUCUGGAGAAAGCACAAUAGUCUAAGAGACUCUCUCAGUGUUGCUGUCUUCCUGAGGCCAUAAGUGGAGUGUACCAGUCAUCAGUUAUGGAUGAAGAUAAGUCCAAGGCCAGUCCCUGCAUAUUAGAUGUAACUAUGGAGGAAGAGACAAAUGAAGAGUUAACACCCAUCAAGCCUAGCAUAUCAGAUGUAGAUAUGGAAGAGGUGGCAAAUGAAGAGUUAAAACCCAUCAGUCCUAGCACAUCAGAUGUAGACAUGGAGGAAGAACCAAACAAAGAGAUAAAACCUCACAAGAUCUCUCGUAACAUCCUGGUGUACUUAAUCAAUAGGCAGCUGGGUAGACCCACAAGGGAUAUGGAUCUGUCCCAGUGGGUGUGGAUGUUGAUGUGAGAAACUAGGGAGGAGUGGGUCUUGCCAACAGUCACGUGAUUUACUUAUGUCUACUUGAAUUGAAAAAGAUUUGAACACCUCCUAAAAUGUUUCAACCAAUAAAAAAAACUUUCUAAAUUCA